UCAGAAGAGGGGUUGGGGGCGGUGCGGAGGACCGGAUCAAACCACCCUGUACCAAGAUGACCUGCAUACAGGACUCAAAAACAAAAAAACCCAACACCCCCAACCCAUUGGGGCCUUUUCGGCUAGGGGCUUUCUGUACCUCCUACCCUGGGAUCUGUAGACCAAUUCCAAGAGAAGUUUGCACCGCAUUUCCGUACAUCGACUACAGAAACUAGCUAACUCGCACAGAACUUGGGAGAUCCAUGUCCUCACGUGGUGAAACCAAAAGAGUGUGAGGUACAGUAGACCCAUUCGAAUAUCCAGGCGGAAGAAAAGAAUUGCAUUGGCCACUUUACUAAACAUGAAGAUGUUGCCUACAUGUUGCUCCACGGUGACUGGAACAGAGAUAUACCACAGUCAGGCUGGGCUGAAGGCUCCCACUCUUUGGCCCUCUUCCUGGGGUACUUUGACAUGGGAACAGGAGGGAGAGGAUACAGAAGACCAAGGUCAAACUAGCCCCUGGCAUGAAAUGUGGAACUAGUUCAUUAAACAGUGCUCAUCCAAUAACACGAAAAAGGAGCUUCUCCAGGGCAUGAGUCCUAACCCCCAGUCAGAGCAAACAAAGCAGGUGAGCUUACUGGAUCUGCGGUUCUUCAUCAUCACAAUGGCACUGAGGAACAUCAGGAUCUCCACUUCUCUCUGGAAGAUAAUCAGAGACAGCAACUUGGUGAAUGAAGCUGGUGGGGUAGAGGACAAAACAUGAAAUGCAAAACAAGAGAAGAGAUCCAGCUUGGGUUGGUGAUAAAGAAGUAACUGGAGCUGACUAAGGUGUAGUGGGACCAACAAAUCGAAAGAGCUAGGUUUAGAGUCUCCUCUUGGCAACUGAAUGGUAUCUUUCAGCAAAUCCCCUACCUUUGAGUUUCCUCUUCUUUCUUUUUCCUCCCUCCCUCCCCUUUUAUCCUUGAGACUUCCUCUCACUAUCUUGCCCAGGCAAUUCCCCUGCCUCAGCCUCUAAAGUAUCUGGACUGUAAUGGUACAUCACCAUGUCCCACUGGUUUUCUUUUUUUAACUACAUUUAUUUAUUUUGUGUGUGUGUGUACCCCUCCAUGUGCCACAGCACACAUGUGAUGUUAGAGGAUAACUUGCCAGACUCAGUUCUUUCCUUCUGCAUCACUGUGUAGUCCAGGCAGGCUUCAAACUCACUGUGCUCCUCCUACCUCAGCCUCUUGAGUGCUGGGUUCUCUGUCAUUUGGUUUUGAGGAAGGAUCUUACUAUAUAGUUUAGGCUACAAUGUUCUGUCUUUAUUUUUUUUUUAAACUUUGUUUUGUUUUCGAGAAUGUUUUGUAGGUCGUGCUGGCAUCCAACUCCCUAUAAUGGUUUUCUUUACACUUGUGAUCUUGCCUCCACCUUCCAAAUGCCAAUAUUACAGAUGUAUACUACCAUGCUGCACAAUUACUAUUAUUAAUAUUAUUACAAUUUCUUUUCAGUGAGUCUCAA